ACUUAACUGGGGUCAAAUUGACUCUAGUAGGGAGUCCCUGCAUUCAAUAUGGCGACUUCCUAACAGAGUCAGGCUGACUCCUUUUAAGACGCUCA
rnacentral:pre_miRNA from 2 species